rnacentral:rRNA from 1 species
CUACGGGUGGCUGCAGUGAGGAAUAUUGCACAAUGGGGGGAACCCUGAUGCAGCAACGCCGCGUGGAGGAUGACGCAUUUCGGUGUGUAAACUCCUUUUAUAUGUCAAGAAAAUGACGGUAGCAUAUGAAUAAGCGCCGGCUAACUCCGUGCCAGCAGCCGCGGUAAUACGGAGGGCGCAAGCGUUACUCGGAAUCACUGGGCGUAAAGAGCGUGUAGGCGGAUUAAAAAGUCAGAAGUGAAAUCCUAUAGCUUAACUAUAGAACUGCUUCUGAAACUCUUAAUCUAGAAUAUGGGAGGGGGAGAUGGAAUUAGUGGUGUAGGGGUAAAAUCCGUAGAUAUCACUAGGAAUACCUAAAGCGAAGGCGAUCUCCUGGAACAUAACUGACGCUAAGGCGUGAAAGCGUGGGGAGCAAACAGGAUUAGAUACCCCAGUAGUC